rnacentral:rRNA from 1 species
ACGGGUGAGUAACGCGUGGGUAACCUGCCUUAUACAGGGGGAGUAACAGUCAGAAAUGGCUGCUAAUACCGCAUAAGCGCACAGAGCUGCAUGGCUCAGUGUGAAAAACUCCGGUGGUAUAAGAUGGACCCGCGUUGGAUUAGCUAGUUGGUGGGGUAACGGCCCACCAAGGCGACGAUCCAUAGCCGGCCUGAGAGGGUGAACGGCCACAUUGGGACUGAGACACGGCCCAGACUCCUACGGGAGGCAGCAUG